GAGUAAUGUCUGGGAAACUGCCUGAUGGAGGGGGAUAACUACUGGAAACGGUAGCUAAUACCGCAUAACGUCGCAAGACCAAAGAGGGGGACCUUCGGGCCUCUUGCCAUCGGAUGUGCCCAGAUGGGAUUAGCUAGUAGGUGGGGUAACGGCUCACCUAGGCGACGAUCCCUAGCUGGUCUGAGAGGAUGACCAGCCACACUGGAACUGAGACACGGUCCAGACUCCUACGGGAGGCAGCAGUGGGGAAUAUUGCACAAUGGGCGCAAGCCUGAUGCAGCCAUGCCGCGUGUAUGAAGAAGGCCUUCGGGUUGUAAAGUACUUUCAGCGGGGAGGAAGGGAGUAAAGU
rnacentral:rRNA from 1 species